UCAAGGAAUGUCCUCUCUGCCAAGGUUAAUGACUCCACGAUAAUCAGAGACUGCAAGAGUCCAGGAGCUUUGACUUUCCUCUGUGGCCAGACCUGUGAGCUGAGCUCUCACCAUAGCCAUCUCUUCUCUUGGGAACUGCACAUUUCUCUGUUGCAGAGUGACUUUCAGUACAACUGACCAAGGACUUCCUCUCCUCACUUCAGAAGCUGCAGGAACACACAGUAACCAUGGGCAAUAGGAGGAUAGAAGGCGACCCUGACAGAAACAUGCUCUUCCAUGACUAAAAGGAGCUGAAAGGAGGAAUGGAGGGGUGUGUGCAAGUUGCAGCCCAGCCCUUGCCCCUGUCUCUGCACAUCAGCUCUGCUAUAUCCCCUGACAAUAAAAAAGACUUAUUUCUUUUUUAAA